UACGGGGGGGGCAAGCGUUGUUCGGAAUUACUGGGCGUAAAGGGCUCGUAGGUGGCCAAUUAAGUCAGACAUGAAAUCCCCAGGCUUAACCUGGGAACUGCGUCUGAUACUGGUUGGCUUGAAUUCGGGAGAGGGAUGCAGAAUUCCAGGUGUAGCGGUGAAAUGCGUAGAUAUCUGGAGGAAUACCGGUGGCGAAGGCGGCAUCCUGGACCGAGAUUGACACUGAGGAGCGAAAGCCAGGGGAGCGAAACGGG
rnacentral:rRNA from 1 species